rnacentral:rRNA from 1 species
UACAGAGGUGGCGAGCGUUGUUCGGAUUUACUGGGCGUAAAGGGCGCGUAGGUGGUUUCGUGUGUCGGACGUGAAAUCUCACUGCUCAACGGUGAAACUGCGUUCGAAACUGCGGGACUUGAGUGCAGGAUAGGAGAGCGGAAUUCUUGGUGUAGCAGUGAAAUGCGUUGAUAUCAAGAGGAACACCGGUGGCGAAGGCGGCUCUCUGGAAUGCUACUGACACUGAGGCACGAAAGUUGGGGGAGCAAACAGG